rnacentral:rRNA from 1 species
UACAGAGGGUGCGAGCGUUGUCCGGAAUUACUGGGCGUAAAGGGCGCGUAGGCGGCUUGGUAAGUCGGGGGUGAAAGUCAGCGGCUCAACCGCUGGACUGCCUUCGAGACUGCCUGGCUUGAGCAUGGUAGAGGCUGGCGGAAUUCCCGGUGUAGCGGCGGAAUGCGUAGAGAUCGGGAAGAACAUCGGUGGCGAAGGCGGCCAGCUGGGCCAUUGCUGACGCUGAUGCGCGACAGCGUGGGGAGCAAACAGG